GAUGAACGCUAGCUACAGGCUUAACACAUGCAAGUCGAGGGGAAACGACAUCGAAAGCUUGCUUUUGGUGGGCGUCGACCGGCGCACGGGUGAGUAACGCGUAUCCAACCUGCCCACCACUUGGGGAUAACCUUGCGAAAGUAAGACUAAUACCCAAUGAUAUCCCACGAAGGCAUCCGAAUGGGAUUAAAGAUUUAUCGGUGAUGGAUGGGGAUGCGUCUGAUUAGCUUGUUGGCGGGGUAACGGCCCACCAAGGCUACGAUCAGUAGGGGUUCUGAGAGGAAGGUCCCCCCACAUUGGAACUGAGACACGGUCCAAACUCCUACGGGAGGCAGCAGUGAGGAAUAUUGGUCAAUGGGCGAGAGCCUGAACCAGCCAAGUAGCGUGCAGGAUGACGGCCCUAUGGGUUGUAAAACUGCUUUUAUAAGGGAAUAAAGUGAGUCUCGUGAGGCUUUUGCAUGUACCUU
rnacentral:rRNA from 1 species